CAGUGAUAAACUGGAGGAAGGUGGGGAUGACGUCAAGUCAUCAUGGCCCUUACGACCAGGGCUACACACGUGCUACAAUGGCGCAUACAAAGAGAAGCGACCUCGCGAGAGCAAGCGGACCUCAUAAAGUGCGUCGUAGUCCGGAUUGGAGUCUGCAACUCGACUCCAUGAAGUCGGAAUCGCUAGUAAUCGUGGAUCAGAAUGCCACGGUGAAUACGUUCCCGGGCCUUGUACACACCGCCCGUCACACCAUGGGAGUGGGUUGCAAAAGAAGUAGGUAGCUUAACCUUCGGGAGGGCGCUUACCACUUUGUGAUUCAUGACUGGGGUGAAGUCGUAACAAGGUAACCGUAGGGGAACCUGCGGUUGGAUCACCUCCUUAUCUUAAAGAA
rnacentral:rRNA from 2 species